rnacentral:lncRNA from 1 species
UUGGUGUGGGAGCCCCUGCUGACAACAGAACCUUCACCUCCUUCUGAUGGGUACUAGGGCAGUGGGCAUAUCGGAGACCAUCAUCACCAGUGGACUUGGUUAAGUCGUCCACGUAAUGUGUAGAUGGGCUGGCGGCCACCCCAAAGCAUCUUGUCCUAAAAUGUUAGUUAUCAAGAAAACAGAGGUAUUCCUAAAAUUUUACCUUUCCCUCCCUACCAAAAAAGCAAUCUUGUUCUAUAUACUUGGAUUAGAGUUACGAACACUUUUCUGCCCAGAGCAGUGUGUUUAUUCAGUCAGAGGGCAGCUAUUGAGCAUCCACCUGCUAGAAAAUUGUGCAAAUCUCUGAGGACAAAAGAAAGGAAACGCUCGAUUCCCAGAGAGCUUAUAGUUCAGUUGAAAAGAAAGACAUCAAAAUAAAGUAACUUAACCUAAAAUGAAAGACAGGAAAUAAUGAAGCAUUAGGACUUGGGGUGUUAGGGUGUAGGGAGGGGAAGAAGAGGUGAGAGCCAGAGGGUUUCUGAGAAAGUUUGGGGCCUCUCUUAUUGGGAGAGUGUUAAUCUUAUCAGGUAAAGUGAAAUUGAUAACCCCAGCUUCUAAGUUUCCUCCAUAUUUGUGAUUCACACUAGAAAAUUACCCAAAUUACUGAAAUCUACAGUUCCAAUGAACAAAAACUGUCAGUACAACCAAAAUAAUGUAACUCUUUCAAUUAAACUGACAAGCUACAUUUGCAAUAUAUUCGCUAAAAAUACAUGGAAAUGGAAUAUCUCAAAGUAAAAAUAGGGUGUGACUUGUUAGCUUCCAUUGUGUUCUGUUACUUGUGUGAGGGAGGAAGAGGCGCUUCAUAGUUCCCGACUGUUUUGUGUUGGGAGGGCCGAUGAAUAGCUACAGAGCCCCACCCGAGAGAAACACUUGCAUUUUCCAUAAGGAAGCUUGAGGGUGUUCUUGAGACUUUUCACAUAGAAGAGUAGAGCAGAAGCAAGGUUCCCUGCCCCCUUGAAGGGUAAAGGUCACAGCAGGCUCACGGCUCCAGGCUUUUAACCAUUGGGUCCAAUAAACUGCGCCAGUUGGGGAGCGAACAGGAAAUCAGGUGCAGAAAAGCUUAGCAGGGCAAAAGGGAGGGCCAUCUAGGGAGACUGAUGGCCCCAGGAUGCUAUCUCAUACUGAGCUUUCUGAAGCCCUUGAGGAGGCUGGAGAGAGAGAUGCUUUAGCGGUUAAGAGAAGGCAGGUUUGAGUCCCAGCACCCACGCGGGAGAUCACAGCCACUUCUGGGGGAUCUGAUGGCCUCUCGGGACGGGACUUCGGCGUGAGCAGCACGCGUGCAUGUGGUACACAGACAUAGGUGUAGGCAAACUUUUUUUUUUUUUUUACACAUAAAACAAAAUUAUAACUUUAAAAAAGAAGUUCUUGAAGGCACAUCUGUGGUCAGGUGGUACACAUAUAAAGAAUAUAUAUUCAGGUACUUUAAGAAAAUAUAGAGCAUUUCUACUUUAAUAAUGAAGAGGAGGAGGAGGAGGAAGGAAGAGGAGGAGGAAAUAGCCGCAGUACCUACUAGCUUUAGCGCAGAAUACUGUGCUCCGAAGAGCUCACAGAAAGGAGGUGUAAGCAAUCCCUUUCUCCAGCCCAUUGAGCCUGGAUGCCAUUCAAAUAAAUUGUGAUGUGAUGCCGCAAGAACAUCAUACACCAAUUAAAAAACUCUGCACUUAGUUUUUGUGACCUGGAGUUAUGCUUUAAGCCUAACAGAGACUGUUGUUAUUAAAAUGAUCAAAACUUGAUGC